GUUGCAUGUGAUUUAGCAAAAGGCUUCAGCAUACUUGGCCACAAUGGCUUUCUCUUGGCUUGCCAGCCUCACAGCAGGACAUGGCCGCUUCCAGCACUUGCCUUGGCUGCUCCUUUAAGGGGCUGGCACCAUCAUCAGAGAAACAGAACAGCUUCUCCUCCCAGAGUUAUCCCUAUCCUCUGCACUUCCCCAGGUGUCUGCCUUGAUGUUCACCAGGGUCUUCCCUGUUUGUGGCCAUCCACUGCCGUGCUCAGUACGCAGCCAGUCGUAUUUGCACAUGAGCUGCCAUAGGAGGACACACAGAGGGUGAACCUCGUUUUUCACAAUGGGGAUAAAAUGGGGCAUGGGGUGCUCAAAUGCCUCAAGAAAGCACCAAAACAACCCAAGCACCACAUUCCCCUCAUGCCUGGGCUGGCAGCCCAGCAGCUCAAGUAGAAGAGUGUUCCAGGAGCUCAGGGGGAGCAGCAGCCCUUGUGCUGAGGCACAGCCUGUGGAGAAAGGGGUGUCCCUGCUGCUGUCACAGCUGGCCCAGGACCGACAGGACCACCUGGAGAGCUGUGCAGGGAGCAGGCAGGAGACACGAGGUGCAGAAGGGACCUCCUUGCUUCCUGAACAUCUCAGAGAGGAGCCAGGCUGCAGCUGGAUGCAGUCCUAGACUAGUCAAUAGUUUAUGUUUAAAGGAUAGUAUAGGUGUAACUGAGCCUUUAUACAACUGUGUUCCAUAGGAUGAAAGAUAUAUUUAUAGAAAAAUAAAGAGUUUAUUAUGAUCACCAUGAAA